rnacentral:rRNA from 1 species
UUUUGGACAAUGGGGGCAACCCUGAUCCAGCAAUGCCGCGUGAGUGAAGAAGGCCUUCGGGUUGUAAAGCUUUUUUGUCAGGGAACAAACACCGGCUAUUACACAGUCCGGGAAUGACGGUACCUUAAGAAUAAGCACCGGCUAACUACGUGCCAGCAGCCGCGGUAAUACGUAGGGUGCAAGCGUUAAUCGGAAUUAUUGGGUGUAAAGGGUGCGCAGGCGGUUAUACAAGACAGGGGUGAAAUCCCCGGGCUUAACCUGGGAAUGGCGCCUGUAACUGUAUGAUAGAGUGUGUCAGAGGGGGGUAGAAUUUCAAGUGUAGCAGGAAAUGCGUAGAUAUGGGAGGAAUACCAAAGGGGAAGGCAGCCCCCGGGAUUACACUGACGCUCAUGCACGAAG